rnacentral:rRNA from 1 species
CUGGCUCAGAACGAACGCUGGCGGCAUGCCUAACACAUGCAAGUCGAACGAACCCUUCGGGGUUAGUGGCGCACGGGUGCGUAACGCGUGGGAACCUGCCUUUAGGUUCGGAAUAACUCAGAGAAAUUUGAGCUAAUACCGGAUAAUGUCUUCGGACCAAAGAUUUAUCGCCUUUAGAUGGGCCCGCGUUAGAUUAGAUAGUUGGUGGGGUAACGGCCUACCAAGUCGACGAUCUAUAGCUGGUCUGAGAGGAUGAUCAGCCACACUGGGACUGAGACACGGCCCAGACUCCUACGGGAGGCAGCAGUGGGGAAUAUUGGACAAUGGGCGAAAGCCUGAUCCAGCAAUGCCGCGUGAGUGAUGAAGGCCUUAGGGUUGUAAAGCUCUUUUACCAGGGAUGAUAAUGACAGUACCUGGAGAAUAAGCUCCGGCUAACUCC